AAACCAAACCAAACGGUCGCGCGGCAUAAGAUCGAAAGGUAAUGCCGUGAGGAAAGUCCGAGCUUCACAGGGCAGGAUAACUGAUAACGUCAGCCGGAGGCGACUCCCGGGCAAGUGCAACAGAAAUAUACCGCCGAACUUUUUCGGUAAGGAUGGAAAGGCGAGGUAAGAGCUCACCCAAAGCAUAGGUAACUAUGCUUUGCUGUAAACCCUAUCCGAAGCAACACCGCAUAUGGAUCGUUCGCCCGACACAUAUCCAUGGGUGGCACGGAGCUAUGCUCCGAAGCUGUCUGGUGACAGGCAGCGAAGAUAGAUGACCGUUCUCGACAAAACUCGGCUUAUAGGUUUGAUUUGCAA
rnacentral:RNase_P_RNA from 1 species